rnacentral:pre_miRNA from 9 species
UCUCGAUAGCGUAAAAGUUAACUCAAAAUUGUAUGGAGUUGGAACGUUUGUAUACGUUUGCCGCUAGGGGCGCUGUUCCAACUGCAUACAAAUUUGAGUUAACUUUUACGCUAUCGA